rnacentral:piRNA from 1 species
UUGUGUUAAAAAAAGUAGAAU